UAGGGAAUCUUCGGCAAUGGGGGGAACCCUGACCGAGCAACGCCGCGUGAGUGAAGAAGGUUUUCGGAUCGUAAAGCUCUGUUGUUAAGGAAGAACGAGUGUGAGAAUGGAAAGUUCAUGCUGUGACGGUACUUAACCAGAAAGGGACGGCUAACUACGUGCCAGCAGCCGCGGUAAUACGUAGGUCCCGAGCGUUGUCCGGAUUUAUUGGGCGUAAAGCGAACGCAGGCGGUUAGAAAAGUCUGAAGUGAAAGGCAGUGGCUCAACCAUUGUAGGCUUUGGAAACUGUUUAACUUGAGUGCAGAAGGGGAGAGUGGAAUUCCAUGUGUAGCGGUGAAAUGCGUAGAUAUAUGGAGGAACACCGGUGGCGAAAGCGGCUCUCUGGUCUGUAACUGACGCUGAGGCUCGAAAGCGUGGGGAGCGAACAGG
rnacentral:rRNA from 1 species